UACGUAGGGUCCGAGCGUUGUCCGGAAUUAUUGGGCGUAAAGGGCGCGUAGGCGGCUACGCACGUCCGUUGUGAAAUCGCUCGGCUCAACUGGGCGGGGUCAGCGGAUACGGUGUAGCUGGAGCAAGCUAGGGGGCAAUGGAAUUCCCGGUGUAGUGGUGGAAUGCGUAGAUAUCGGGAGGAACACCAGUGGCGAAGGCGGUUGCCUGGAGCUUUGCUGACGCUGAGGCGCGAAAGCGUGGGGAGCGAACAGG
rnacentral:rRNA from 1 species